rnacentral:rRNA from 1 species
UACGGAGGGUGCGAGCGUUGUCCGGAAUCACUGGGCGUAAAGGGCGCGUAGGCGGCGCGGAUAGUCGGCGGUGAAAGCCCGGAGCUCAACUCCGGGCCUGCAGUCGAUACGGGCGGACUAGAGUUCGGCAGGGGAGACUGGAAUUCCUGGUGUAGCGGUGAAAUGCGCAGAUAUCAGGAGGAACACCGGUGGCGAAGGCGGGUCUCUGGGCCGAUACUGACGCUGAGGAGCGAAAGCGUGGGGAGCGAACAGG